rnacentral:rRNA from 1 species
AGCGAACGCUGGCGGCAGGCCUAACACACGCAAGUCGAACGAUCCUUCGGGAUAGUGGCGGACGGGUGAGUAACACGUGGGAACGUGCCCUUUGGUUCGGAAUAACUCAGGGAAACUUGAGCUAAUACCGGAUGAGCCCUUCGGGGGAAAGAUUUAUCGCCAUUGGAGCGGCCCGCGUUGGAUUAGCUAGUUGGUGGGGU